rnacentral:rRNA from 1 species
GACGAACGCUGGCGGCGUGCCUAAUACAUGCAAGUCGAACGCAGUGGGGACGGGUGAGUAACACGUGGGUCACCUCCCAUCAGAGGGGAUAACACUUGGAAACAGGUGCUAAACCGAUCCUGAUGGAUGGAACCGCGGUGCAUUAGCUAGUUGGUGAGGUACCGGCGCACCACGGCCACGAUGCAUCGCCGACCUGAGAGGUUGAGCGGCCACACUGGUACGUAGAAACGGCCCAGACUCCUACGGGAGGCAGCAGUAGGGAAUCUUCGGCAAUGGACGAAAGUCUGACCGAGCAACGCCGCGUGAGUGAAGAAGGUUUUCGGAUCGUAAAACUCUGUUGUUAGAGAAGCGGUAUCUAACCAGAAAGCCACGGCUAACUACGUGCCAGCCGCCGCGGUAAUAC